GAGUUUGAUCAUGGCUCAGAUUGAACGCUGGCGGCAUGCUUUACACAUGCAAGUCGGACGGCAGCACAGAGAAGCUUGCUUCUUGGGUGGCGAGUGGCGAACGGGUGAGUAACGCAUCGGAACGUACCGAGUAGUGGGGGAUAACUGUCCGAAAGGAUGGCUAAUACCGCAUACGCUUUGAGAAGGAAAGCGGGGGAUCUUCGGACCUCGCGCUAUUCGAGCGGCCGAUGUCUGAUUAGCUAGUUGGUGGGGUAAAGGCCUACCAAGGCGACGAUCAGUAGCGGGUCUGAGAGGAUGAUCCGCCACACUGGGACUGAGACACGGCCCAGACUCCUACGGGAGGCAGCAGUGGGGAAUUUUGGACAAUGGGCGCAAGCCUGAUCCAGCCAUGCCGCGUGUCUGAAGAAGGCCUUCGGGUUGUAAAGGACUUUUGUCAGGGAAGAAAAGCUUUGGGUUAAUACCCUGGAAGUG
rnacentral:rRNA from 1 species